UAAUCUUCCACCUUAGAACCCUCACUCUUAAGAACCACACGGCACCAUAUCUAGUCUUGGGAUACCGCAAGAAGAUGGCCAUCUGCCAGGAAAAGAGCUCUCACCCAAACUCAACCAUGCUGGCACCUUGGUCACAAACUUCCAGACUCCAGAACUCUCCCUUUAGGUGAAUCCUGGGAAGAGCUACAGAUGUGUCUUCCCUAUUUGAGGGAAGGAAUGAAAUAACAAGGCUCUCUCAACAUGGCUAUUGACUUCAAGCCAAUAAUGUUCUGGAUAUAAGGUGACUGUGACCUUUGGAAUCAUGGUCAGAACUCCACCUGGUUGAGCUAUGUUUGCUUUCAGUUCUGUCUGCCGAGAAUCCAUCCAGCUUCCUUCCAGCAACAGAAGGUGCAGAGCCCAAAGACUGCUUUGCAAGAGGAGCUGUAGGUCACGUUUUGAACCAGAUAUAUCUACAGCGGCCGUGGGCACACUGCUCAUGGCUGCAGGCCUGUGGACACCCCACCCUUCUCACACUCACUGCCGAAGUGCAGGGCAUCUGAGUCUGGCUGCAGGCUGCCCCCAAGCCUAGAGCACGGCUUCCAGAGGGUGCAAGAGCCAAGGCCGGCAGCCCUGCUGCAGCACAGCUGGUGGCAUUCACCUCCCCUAGAAGGAGGCCCUACGUACUGGGCUCUCUCCUCGGCAAUCGGCACUGCAUGGACAAUACGAGUCAUAAAAUAAACUUUUAUCA